rnacentral:rRNA from 1 species
GAUGAACGCUAGCGGCAGGCCUAACACAUGCAAGUCGAGGGGGAGGUUACUUUCGGGUAACUGAGACCGGCGUACGGGUGCGUAACGCGUAUACAAUCUGCCUUUCACUGGGGGAUAGCCCGAAGAAAUUUGGAUUAAUACCCCAUAGUAUAGUAAUACGGCAUCGUGAUGCUAUUAAAGCUUAGGUGGUGAAAGAUGAGUAUGCGUUCUAUUAGCUAGUUGGAGAGGUAACGGCUCCCCAAGGCGAUGAUAGAUAGGGGUUCUGAGAGGGAUGUCCCCCACACUGGUACUGAGAUACGGACCAGACUCCUACGGGAGGCAGCAGUGAGGAAUAUUGGACAAUGGUCGGAAGACUGAUCCAGCCAUGCCGCGUGCAGGAUGAAGGUCUUAUGGAUUGUAAACUGCUUUUGUAAGGGAAGAAUAAGGGCUACGCGUAAUUUGAUGACGGUACCUUACGAAUAAGCAUCGGCUAACUCCGCG